UAGCUUUGGGUGUUAAGCACAAAAAAUUUUGAUUUUUUAGGAAAUAAUUUAGUUUAUUAAAGUUAA
rnacentral:tRNA from 1 species